UGCUCCACAGCGAACGGGGCGGCAGCCUAACAUUUGCAAGUCGAACGGAUCCUUCGGGAUUAGUGGCGGACGGGUGAGUAGGGAACGUGCCCUUUGGUUCGGAACAACUCAGGGAAACUUGAGCUAAUACCGGAUGUGCCCUUCGGGGGAAAGAUUUAUCGCCAUUGGAGCGGCCCGCGUCUGAUUAGCUAGUUGGUGGGGUAAAGGCCCACCAAGGCGACGAUCAGUAGCUGGUCUGAGAGGAUGAUCAGCCACAUUGGGACUGAGACACGGCCCAAACUCCUACGGGAGGCAGCAGUGGGGCUCUUGCCAUGGGCGACAGCCUGACGCAGCAUGCCGCUGAAUGAU
rnacentral:rRNA from 1 species